CUAACGCAGCAGCGGAUUAGGUCCGUUGGCGAUAUUUUUGGUCCGCGCAUUAGCGCGCGCUCUUAUUGUUGAAAAGACUAAAAUGGCGAAAGACUCAGGCAAGAGUGGAAUUAAUCAACGAGCUGAUGCACAGGUGUACUGUCGAUAUGAGGUAAAAUGGCUGAACGGAUAGCUGAUGCAAGUGAAUUAAUUAGAGCUAACUGUCAUGUGAUCACGUUUAUGUACAUGUAGUAUUAAGGCAAUUAGAGUGUAGUGGUAGGUCUACCCUGCUAGAACAAGUUUUAGUUUUC